rnacentral:rRNA from 1 species
UACGAAGGGGGCUAGCGUUGUUCGGAAUCACUGGGCGUAAAGCGCACGUAGGCGGAUGUGCCAGUCAGGGGUGAAAUCCCGGAGCUCAACUCCGGAACUGCCUCUGAUACAGCACGUCUUGAGUUCGAGAGAGGUGGGUGGAAUUCCUAGUGUAGAGGUGAAAUGCGUUGAUAUCAGAAGGAACGCCGGUGGCGAAAGCGACGGACUGGACCUUUUCUGACGCUGAGGCGCGAAAGCUAGGGGAGCAAACGGG